GCAGUGACUAUGACAGCAUUUUAAUAAGAUAAUAUACUCAUUUUAACACAGCCUUUAUUUUCUGUUUCAAAACAAAAUUUCCAGGAAACAAAAUACUUAACAAUGGUUGGGUACAAAUGAAAUAAAAAUCACAGUUUCAAAGAACCAAAAUCAGACAACUGCUUAAAGGCAGAUUGCUUAGGAAUUGCAUAAACUUCCUGAGUGGCUCCCAUGCUGCACUAGGUCUACAUGCUUAAUAUUCAUAUCAAACAAAUUACAGCUUUAAGUGAUUGAGCAUGACAGACCUUGAACAACUGCACUUUCCAAUCAAUCACUGUUUCUGCUGAGGGUAUGUUUUGGACCACAAACUUCAAUCUGAAAUCUUACAGUGGAGAAGAAAUGCAACUUU
rnacentral:lncRNA from 1 species